rnacentral:rRNA from 1 species
UACGAAGGGGCUAGCGUUGUUCGGAUUUACUGGGCGUAAAGCGCACGUAGGCGGAUCGAUCAGUCAGGGGUGAAAUCCCAGAGCUCAACUCUGGAGCUGCCUUUGAUACUGUCGAUCUGGAGUAUGGAAGAGGUGAGUGGAAUUCCGAGUGUAGAGGUGAAAUUCGUAGAUAUUCGGAGGAACACCAGUGGCGAAGGCGGCUCACUGGUCCAUUACUGACGCUGAGGUGCGAAAGCGUGGGGAGCAAACAGG